ACGAUUAUUGGGCCUAAAGCAUCCGUAGCCGGUUUUACAAGUCUUCCGUUAAAUCCACCUGCUUAACAGAGGGGCUGCGGAAGAUACUAUAGAGCUAGGAGGCGGGAGAGGCAAGCGGUACUCGAUGGGUAGGGGUAAAAUCCGUUGAUCCAUUGAAGACCACCAGUGGCGAAGGCGGCUUGCCAGAACGCGCUCGACGGUGAGGGAUGAAAGCUGGGGGAGCAAACCGG
rnacentral:rRNA from 1 species